rnacentral:rRNA from 1 species
UACGGAGGGGGCGAGCGUUGUCCGAAUUCACUGGGCGUAAAGCGCGUGUAGGCGGACCGUAAAGCCUGGGGUGAAAGCCCGGAGCUCAACUCCGGAACGGCCCUGGGGACUUAUGGUCUGGAGGCAGGCAGAGGAGAGUGGAAUUCCUGGUGUAGCGGUGGAAUGCGUAGAGAUCAGGAAGAACACCCAUGGCGAAGGCAGCUCUCUGGGCCUGUACUGACGCUGAGACGCGAAAGCGUGGGGAGCGAACGGG